rnacentral:rRNA from 1 species
UACGUAGGGGGCAAGCGUUGUCCGGAUUCAUUGGGCGUAAGGCGCGUGUAGGCGGCCAGGUAGGUCCGGUGUGAAAACUCGAGGCUCAACCUCGAGAGGUCAUCGGAAACCAUCUGGCUAGAGUCCGGAAGAGGAGAGUGGAAUUCCUGGUGUAGCGGUGAAAUGCGCAGAUAUCAGGAAGAACACCAAUGGCGAAAGCAGCUCUCUGGGACGGUACUGACGCUGAGACGCGAAAGCGUGGGGAGCGAACAGG